rnacentral:rRNA from 1 species
AUUGAACGCUGGCGGAAUGCUUUACACAUGCAAGUCGAACGGUAGAGGGGGCAACCCCUCGAGAGUGGCGAACGGGUGAGUAAUAUAUCGGAACGUGCCCAGUCGUGGGGGAUAACGUAGCGAAAGUUACGCUAAUACCGCGUACGAUCUAAGGAUGAAAGCGGGGGAUCGCAAGACCUCGCGCGAUUGGAGCGGCCGAUAUCAGAGUAGGUAGUUGGUGGGGUAAAGGCUCACCAAGCAAACGAUCUGUAGCUGGUCUGAGAGGACGACCAGCCACACUGGAACUGAGACACGGACCAUACUCCUACGGGAGGCAGCAGUGGGGAAUUUUGGACAAUGGACGCAAGUCUGAUCCAGCCAUUCCGCGUGCAGGAUGAAGGCCCUCGGGUUGUAAACUGCUUUUGUACGGAACGAAAAGGUCUCUCUUAAUACGGGGGACUCAUGACGGUACCGUAAGAAUAAGCACCGGCUAACUACGUGCCAGCCGCCGCGGUAA